rnacentral:rRNA from 1 species
GUGAGGAAUAUUGCGCAAUGGAGGCAACUCUGACGCAGCCAUGCCGCGUGCAGGAAGAAGGCGCUACGCGUUGUAAACUGCUUUUAACCGGGAAGAAACCCCAGGACGUGUCCUGGGUUGACGGUACCGGAGGAAUAAGCACCGGCUAACUUCGUGCCAGCAGCCGCGGUAAUACGAAGGGUGCAAGCGUUAUCCGGAUUCAUUGGGUUUAAAGGGUGCGUAGGCGGAGCGUUAAGUCAGUGGUGAAAUCCUGCAGCUUAACUGUAGACUUGCCAUUGAUACUGGCGAUCUUGAGUGCGCUUGAAGUGGGCGGAAUGUGCCGUGUAGCGGUGAAAUGCUUAGAUAUGGCACAGAACACCAAUUGCGAAGGCAGCUCACUAAGGCGAUACUGACGCUGAGGCACGAAAGCGUGGGGAUCGAACAGGAUUAGAUACCCCAGUAGUCC